AGAAACUGCUGGAUGCUGAGAGGAACGCAUCAGUGGAAGAAAACAAGCGGCUGGACGUGGAGAGGACGUCAAGGGAGCAUGCCGGCGGAAGAGCACACCACAGACGCCGGCAGGCCACCGAGCGGCAGGACCAGGCGGAGUUUGGCCGGGGCAGUCGGAGGAGAGCUAGGCCACUAAGCAGCUCAACUCCAGGAGAUAAACCAUCUCCCUUGUGGCUCCUCCGUCGGCUGAGAGCUGCUUCCACUCAAUAACACUUUGCACUCGUUCUCCAAGCCCCCGUGUGAUCCGAUUCUUCUGGUACACCCAGGCAAGAACCCAGGAUACAGAAAGGCCUCGGUCCUUUCCACAAGUACCUCUACUUGAGGUACUCAUUGACCUGGUUAACACAAGCUGCCUACAGACGCCAAAACUAAGGGCACCCUGGAACACAGGCUUCAGCUGUAAACAUUCACCCCUGGGCACUGCCGUGGGGUGGGAGCCUGCCUGAGUGUAUGCUCCCCUAGAGGUUUGAGCUGCGGGGCACUGAAGAAGUGAGCCACACUCCCAUCGCACACUGCGAGGGGGACAAAGGAACUUUUCCUCUUUUAACUGGGGCCUCAUCUGGAAUCUCGGAAGGUGAAUGUCUGCCUUCGAAAACCCUACCACCUGUCUUUCUUGUGGAUCACCCUGGCCUGCCAUGCCCCCAUCCUGGGCCUAUAAAAACCCUGAGACCCUAGCAAGGCAGAGAUAGAAGCUGCCGGAUGCUGAGAGAAACACAUCAGUGGAAGGGAAGAAGAAAAGCGGCUGGACAUGGAGAGGACGUCAGUGGAGCAUGCCGGCGGAAGAGCACACCCACAGACCCUGGCACGCCGGCAGGCCACGUAGCGGCAGGCCACGUAGCGGCAGGCCACGUAGCGGCAGGCCACGUAGCGGCAGGCCAAGGCGGAGUUUGGCCGGGGCAGUCGGAGGAGAGCUAGGCCACUAAGCAGCUCAACUCCAGGAGAAAACCAUCUCCCUUCUGGCUCCUCCAUCAGCUGAGAGCUGCUUCCACUCAAUAACACUUCGCACUGAUUCUCCAAGCCCAGGUGUGAUCCGAUUCUUCUGGUACACCCAGGCAAGAACCCAGGAUACAGACAGCCCUCUGUCCUUUUGAUAACUAGAGGGUCUCAUUGACCUGGUUAACACAAGCUGCCUACAGACGGCAAAACUAAAAGAGCACCCUGGAACACACGCCCACUGGGGCUUCAGCUGUAAACAUUCACCCCUAGACACGGCUAUGGGGUUGGAGCCUGCCUGUCUGUAUGCUCCCCUAGAGGUUUGGGCAGCAGGGCACUGAAGAAUCAAGCCACACCCCCAUCGCACACCCUGCGAGGGGGACAAGGGAACCUUUCUCUUUUCAGUUGGUCUUAAUAAACACUGAGUAAAUGAAU